UACAGAGGGUGCAAGCGUUGUUCGGAAUUACUGGGCGUAAAGCGCGUGUAGGCUGCAAUGUAAGUCGGAUGUGAAAGCCCUCGGCUUAACCGAGGAAGUGCAUCUGAUACUGCAUCGCUUGAGUGUCGGAGGGGGUGGCGGAAUUCCCGGUGUAGAGGUGAAAUUCGUAGAUAUCGGGAGGAACACCUGUGGCGAAGGCGGCCACCUGGACGAUAACUGACGCUGAGACGCGAAAGCGUGGGUAGCAAACAG
rnacentral:rRNA from 1 species